rnacentral:rRNA from 1 species
CACUCCUGCGGGAGGCAGCAGUGGGGAAUUUUGGACAAUGGGCGAAAGCCUGAUCCAGCAAUGCCGCGUGAGUGAAGAAGGCCUUCGGGUUGUAGAGCUCUUUUGUCAGGGAAGAAACGGUGAGAGCUAAUAUCUCUUGCUAAUGACGGUACCUGGAGAAUAAGCACCGGCUAACUACGUGCCAGCAGCCGCGGUAAUACGUAGGGUGCAAGCGUUAAUCGGAAUUACUGGGCGUAAAGCGUGCGCAGGCGGUUUUGUAAGUCUGAUGUGAAAUCCCCGGGCUCAACCUGGGAAUUGCAUUGGAGACUGCAAGGCUAGAAUCUGGCAGAGGGGGGUAGAAUUCCACGUGUAGCAGUGAAAUGCGUAGAUAUGUGGAGGAACACCGAUGGCGAAGGCAGCCCCCUGGGUCAAGAUUGACGCUCAUGCACGAAAGCGUGGGGAGCAAACAGGAUUAGAAACCCUUGUAGUCCC